AGUCGUAACAAGGUAUCCGUAGGUGAACCUGCGGAUGGGUCAUUACCAAAGGAUUAUUUACUAUCCUACGUUUUGUGAACUGUUUUGAAUGAUGACAGUCAGUGCCAGGUGGCAAUUUUGGCUAUCUAAUUAGGUUCCAAUUUUGGUACCAUGGCGCUGGCUGUACUAACAUUAAAUGUCUUUUUCUUGCAAACUGAAGUCUACUUAGUUUCAGAACUAAAACAACUUUUAGCAACGGAUCUCUUGGCUCUCU
rnacentral:misc_RNA from 1 species